rnacentral:rRNA from 1 species
AUUGAACGCUGGCGGCAUGCCUUACACAUGCAAGUCGAACGGCAGCACGGGUGCUUGCACCUGGUGGCGAGUGGCGAACGGGUGAGUAAUACAUCGGAACAUGUCCUGUAGUGGGGGAUAGCCCGGCGAAAGCCGGAUUAAUACCGCAUACGAUCUACGGAUGAAAGCGGGGGACCUUCGGGCCUCGCGCGUUCGGGUUGGCCGAUGGCUGAUUAGCUAGUUGGUGGGGUAAAGGCCUACCAAGGCGACGAUCAGUAGCUGGUCUGAGAGGACGACCAGCCACACUGGGACUGAGACACGGCCCAGACUCCUACGGGAGGCAGCAGUGGGGAAUUUUGGACAAUGGGCGAAAGCCUGAUCCAGCAAUGCCGCGUGUGUGAAGAAGGCCUUCGGGUUGUAAAGCACUUUUGUCCGGAAAGAAAUCCUUGGCUCUAAUACAGUCGGGGGAUGACGGUACCGGAAGAAUAAGCACCGGCUAACUACGUG